rnacentral:lncRNA from 1 species
CUAAUAGGAAUAGCCCCACCCACUUCUCCUAGAACUGGCAUAAUUCCCAGGAACCCACAUCAAGAACCUGUGGUACUUGAAGAUAAUUUAAGCUUGGCAUGCCAAGGAACAGCUAGAAGAGGAAAGUAACAAUUCUUCCAUGUAAGUUCAUUCAUUCUAAUAUAUUUAUGACUCUGGGGCAGGAUGGUGAUAGUGGGGCAGGCUGCACACAGAUGAAGAGGGGCACAGGGGAACUCUGCACCUUCUGUUUAAUUUUGAUGUGGUCUUAAAACUACCUUUUGAUACAUUUUAUGUAAAAGGAGUGGCGGAGACAUUUUAGAAUACAUUUUGGCCAGUUUUUAGGAAUGAUAUUUAGUCUUAGUCAUGUUACUAGCAAUUGUGCUCCAAAUUAUUUAUGUAUCUGCUUUUAAAACUAUGUCUGCACAAAGUCUCCAUGGGAAAUGUUCCAUCAGCUUGACUGAUUGUUGCCUUUACCAUUCUGAGAAUCUUGCACAUACAGCCACCUUUGAAAGAAAUAUUUCCUAUAUAGAGUGCAUACAUGUUUCUAUUACUCAUGUUCCUCAAUUGCUUAGCCCAUUUUCUAAACAACUUUAAAGACUGUAAUUGCUGUAAUCUCAAAUUCAGUGCCGCUGCCUCCUCCCUGGUGUUUUUGACACUCUCAGGAUGUGGUUUUCACACUGUGUGUCUCGCACAGUAAUACACGGCCGUGUCCUCAGGUCUCAGGCUGCUCAGCUCCAUGUAGGCUGUGCUCGUGGACGUGUCCGCUGUCAUGGUGACUCUGCCCUGGAACUUCUGUGCGUAGUUUGUGUUACCAUUACCAGGGUAGAUCCCUCCCAUCCACUCGAGCCCUUGUCCAGGGGUCUGUCGCACCCAGUGCAUAGUGUAGCUUGUGAAGGUGUAUCCAGAAGCUUUGCAGGAGACCUUCACGGAGGCCCCAGGCUUCUUCACCUCAGCCCCAAACUGCACCAGCUGCACCUGGGAGUGGGCACCUGUGGAGAGGACACAGGAGUGGGUGACAUCUCACUUGACUGGCCUGGUUUCUCCCUCUGCCCUGGGACUGGGGAGCCGCUUACCUGUUGCUGCUGCCACCAAGAAGAGGAUCCUCCAGGUCCAGUCCAUGGUCAGGAAGAUUGUCCUGGAUGAAUUUGGUUGGUCUGAUUUAAUCCCAGCAGAAGAGAAGAUAAUAGAACCCUAUGACUUGGCUGUGGAACUUCUCAGGAAUUCCAGCCUGUCUUUUCUGAUGGUCAGCUCCAUUGUCUUUGGCUGUGCCUAGCCAGACGUCACAACUGCUGUCACACAGAGCCCACUGCACAACAAAGUGUCUAUCCUCAGCUCUCUCGAAAGUCACA